GGGCCAGCAGCUUGACGUUGAGCUCGGCGUAAUUAGCGCCGACCGGGUCAAGAAUGACGUUGAACGGUGCAAAAUCGUUCAGGCCCUC
rnacentral:tRNA from 1 species